CCCAGACAGCUGCAUAAAUGUGGGGCUACAAAAAGCCCAAAGACGAACAUGAACUCAACAACGCCAUCCCAGAAGCCCCCAUGCAGAUGAUGGGGCCAACAGAGCAAUAUGCUAUCAGUGCUGACCUUGCUAAGGCCUGACCCCUCACUCCUGGAAAAUCUUAGACCCUUUCUUAGGAUACUCUUUCCUGAUUGGAACGGGGAGCAGCGUAGAAUACCUGCAUCAAGAUGCUUGGAUACAGAUGCAAAGCAAAGGGAAAAAUUGACAGAUAAGAGCCUCAUGAUAGCAGAGAAGUCUUGAUUCAUGAUCUUGGGGAAAAGCUGUCCAAGUCAAGGAUGCUGUCUUCUUCUGGGGAGAAACUUCCCUGGACGUAUAACAUUGGAAAGAAGCAAUUUACUCAUCUAGACUUGGAGAGUCUGGCUCAACAUCAAAUUAAAAUCAUGCUUACAGCUGGCCUUUUUGGGCUACAACCUCUUCUCACCCACCCCCAGCUGGUGUUCACGUGAGGGUGCUUUUGUGCAAAGCUGGAGAAGCACGGGAUGUGAAGGGCCUUGCUGGAGGCAGAGCUCUGCAGAUGAACCAGAAGACCGCACCCGAACCCCCGUUCAGCUGCGAGGCAUAAACGCCUUCCCCUGGUUAGGAGCUGAUGCCUCACUGUGAGCUUGGAUGGCAAGUUCAUAGAGGCCAUCCACACGAAUGGGUUUAAUGGGAUUUCUUUAUCAAUUGUUUAAAGAGAGUCUUUAGCGUCCCUCAAUACCCUUUCCAGGAGGAUACACAGAAUAAAUUCCUGCUUGACUUUUAGAUCCCAGAUAAAACUACUCCCGCAGAAGAAUUAGAAUUUCUUUGUCAUAUUGGACAAUAAAAA
rnacentral:lncRNA from 10 species